CAGAUAGUUGAGUGUAGGCGAGUGCUCAAGUGGACAUGCAUAUGGUUAUUAUCUACCAAAAUAUGAUCAUGCUAAGAAACAAUUUUUUGAGUAUUUGCAAGGUGAGGCAGAGUUCAGAUUGGAAAGGCUUCAUCAGUGUGCAGAGAAGGAACUUCACCAGUUCCUUAGUGAUGAGAAUCCUUCUAGUAACUUUAAUGACUUCCGCACCAAGUUAGCUGGACUUACUAGUGUGACCAGAAACUACUUUGACAACCUCGUGAGAGCAUUGGAGAAUGGGCUAUCAGAUGUGGAUUCCCAUGGUGGUUGCAGCAGGGCAGCGAGCUCUAAGAAUGGAGGGAGCAGCAAGGCAAGUAGAGGUGGUGGAAGGGGAAAAGGAACUACCAACACUCGAGCUGGUUCCAGCUGAACCGAUGUAUGUUAAUGUUAAAUCUGCAACCACUUGCCAGAUGUGCCAGCAUUGCAAAUGAGGGCAGUGACGGAAAAUUUACAAAGAAGGAUGGUUUUCUCCAGAAACACGACUUUCAUGGACAAGGAACCAGUUCAAGCGCAUGGGCAGUGUCCUAUAAAAGGAUUAUUGGUAUGAAUCGUUCAAGUUCCCAGUGACAUAUCAAUUAUUAGGAGGCUUAAUUGUUGGUGUGGUGUGAUGACUGAUUCAAGCACGAGCAGCAGCAGCUUUCGGCCUGUGUUUACUCUUGUUGUGUGUUGAUGGCGGUGGCCUAUAAUGCCGGCCCAUGUAUAUAGGCUGUAGGGUUUCAUUGUCGGUACCAUACUAAUUUGGCAAAGAAAAAGAAAUAGUGACUGUCACCAAUCAUUUAAUAUUUCAUCUAUUUGUUGUUGGAAGAGGCAAAUGUA